rnacentral:pre_miRNA from 1 species
UUUGGGUUCCUGGCAUGAUGAUUUGAGUACUUAAGAUUAAAAUCACAUUGCCAGGGAUUACCACACG